UUGGAUUCUAUUCCGUGUUCCUGGUUAUUGGCCUGCUUCUCAUUCUCAACAGGUCCUGUACGACUGCUCUUCACCUCUCUGAUACUGAGACCAGCAGACGCAGGUGCCCGCAGCUUCUACUGGUGUUGUGGAAGUGUCGUUCGCAUCUGUUCCAUGCACUUCUCUGCCUGGAAGCCAUAGCAGGUCCUUGCAGCUGCUGCUCGUGUUGAGGAAGUGUCGCUCGUGCCUGACGAUGUAUGUUGUAUGUCCUUCUUCGUCUAUGGAAGCACGAGAAGGUGAAGCGAUUGGAUUCUAUUCCUUGUUCCUGGUUAUUGGUCCUCAUUCUCAACAGGUCCUGUACGACUGCUGUUCACCUCUCUGAUACUGAGACCAGCAGACGCAGGUGGCCGCAGCUUCUACUGGUGUUGUGGAAGUGUCGUUCGCUUCUGUUCCAUGCACUUCUCUGCCUGGAAGCCAUAGCAGGUCCUUGCAGCUGCUGCUCGUGUUGAGGAAGUGUCGCUCGUGCCUGACGAUGUAUGUUGCAUGUCCUUCUUCGUCUAUGGAAGCACGAGAAGGUGAAGCGAUUGGAUUCUAUUCCGUGUUCCUGGUUAUUGGCCUGCUUCUCAUUCUCAACAGGUCCUGUACGACUGCUCUUCACCUCUCUGAUACUGAGACCAGCAGACGCAGGUGCCCGCAGCUUCUACUGGUGUUGUGGAAGUGUCGUUCGCAUCUGUUCCAUGCACUUCUCUGCCUGGAAGCCAUAGCAGGUCCUUGCAGCUGCUGCUCGUGUUGAGGAAGUGUCGCUCGUGCCUGACGAUGUAUGUUGUAUGUCCUUCUUCGUCUAUGGAAGCACGAGAAGGUGAAGCGAUUGGAUUCUAUUCCUUGUUCCUGGUUAUUGGUCCUCAUUCUCAACAGGUCCUGUAUGACUGCUCUUCACCUCUCUGAUACUGAGACCAGCAGACGCAGGUGCCCGCAGCUUCUACUGGUGUUGUGGAAGUGUCGUUCGCAUCUGUUCCAUGCACUUCUCUGCCUGGAAGCCAUAGCAGGUGAAGCCAUGACCCCUCUGGUGUUGGCCUACUUCUCAUUCUCUGCAGGUCCUUGCAGCUGCUGCUCGUGUUGAGGAAGUGUCGCUCGUGCCUGACGAUGUAUGUUGCAUGUCCUUCUUCGUCUAUGGAAGCACGAGAAGGUGAAGCGAUUGGAUUCUAUUCCGUGUUCCUGGUUAUUGGCCUGCUUCUCAUUCUCAACAGGUCCUGUACGACUGCUCUUCACCUCUCUGAUACUGAGACCAGCAGACGCAGGUGCCCGCAGCUUCUACUGGUGUUGUGGAAGUGUCGUUCGCAUCUGUUCCAUGCACUUCUCUGCCUGGAAGCCAUAGCAGGUCCUUGCAGCUGCUGCUCGUGUUGAGGAAGUGUCGCUCGUGCCUGACGAUGUAUGUUGUAUGUCCUUCUUCGUCUAUGGAAGCACGAGAAGGUGAAGCGAUUGGAUUCUAUUCCUUGUUCCUGGUUAUUGGUCCUCAUUCUCAACAGGUCCUGUAUGACUGCUCUUCACCUCUCUGAUACUGAGACCAGCAGACGCAGGUGCCCGCAGCUUCUACUGGUGUUGUGGAAGUGUCGUUCGCUUCUGUUCCAUGCACUUCUCUGCCUGGAAGCCAUAGCAGGUCCUUGCAGCUGCUGCUCGUGUUGAGGAAGUGUCGCUCGUGCCUGACGAUGUAUGUUGUAUGUCCUUCUUCGUCUAUGGAAGCACGAGAAGGUGAAGCGAUUGGAUUCUAUUCCUUGUUCCUGGUUAUUGGUCCUCAUUCUCAACAGGUCCUGUAUGACUGCUGUUCACCUCUCCGAUACUGAGACCAGCAGACGCAGGUGCCCGCAGCUUCUACUGGUGUUGUGGAAGUGUCGUUCGCUUCUGUUCCAUGCACUUCUCUGCCUGGAAGCCAUAGCAGGUCCUUGCAGCUGCUGCUCGUGUUGAGGAAGUGUCGCUAGUGCCUGACAAUGUCUUUUGCAUGUCCUUCUCCUUCUAUGGAAUCACGAGAAGGUCCUGUACGACCGCAGUCUACCUCUCUGAUACUGAGACCAGCAGUAUGCAGGUGCUCGCAGCUUCUGCUUGUGUUGGGGAAGUGUCUUUCACGCCCAGUGAUACCUGUUUCGUGCACUUCUCUGUCUGGAACCCACAGCAGGUGUAGCCGUGGCUCUUGCUGCUUAUUCCUGGUCUUUGCCUGCUUCUCAUUCUCUGCAGGUCCAGUACGACCGCAGCCCACUUGUGUGAUGCUGAGACCAGCAGAUGCGGGUGCUCUCAGCUUCUGGUCGUGUUGAAGUGUUGCUCGUGCCUGACGAUAUCUGUACCAUGCCCUUCUCUGUCUAUGGAAGCACCAGAAGGUGAAGCCGUGGAUUCUAUUCCUUUCGUAUGUCGAUGUUUCCCCGAUAAAGUAUAUAUAAUAUUGGCAGUUUAGUACGAUUUCAGUUUGCAUAACCACAUUGUUUCGUAUCCAGUGCAUCAGGGAUCUGGAGUGACAAGAGGCAAGAGAUAUAGAUGCGCUCGUCCUGCUGUGGAUUUAAUGAAACCAUGCUUUUUGUGAAAUGUUCAAGCGUUAUUGUUUUAGCUAACACGUAUACUCAUGACAGGCUGAAUAGACUGUACAUUGGACAAAUUUCCAGAGUUUCCGUGUUACAGAGAUGAUGCUUCGUAUUUUUUCCCUGAAGGCACGCUCCGACGCUCUGUGGAAGCUUCACAUGGGGGAGGAGGAUUUAACCCUUUCCCCGAAUGCACUACCAAUGGUACAGUUCAGGGGGUUUGAACCCCCCAGCCACGCCACUGACUACCACUGUCACGAAGAAGCUGCAAGGAAGACAUAAGUGUGGCUGUACUUGCUGUGCACCUAGCGUCUGAGUACACACUAUACACCUUAUUAAAGGAAAGUUACACAACAUAUCAAUGAUAAACAUUUUGGCCUGGGUGAAGGGGGUGUUGUGUCUUUUCUUCUGCAGAGUACUAUAUCGUGUAGUGGGGUAAUAUUUGUGGAUACUUUGGCGGGCGGGAUUCCCAUCGUGGCUGUAGUUGACAACUGGGAGCCGCAAUAUGUUGAGUUUUGUGGUUGUCUCUGUGAAGGUGUGCACUGACUUGGUUUGUUUCAGUUUGGCUCGUUCCAUUAGGUCCUGGUGCCCUGGUUUUCGUGGUUUCGCUUCGGGGAGGUUUGGCUCUUCCAGUAUCCAGUUUUCGAGGUCUGGUGUGGUUGUCGGUGUGUGGCACGUCAAUUUUCAUAUGGAACUGCUGCGAGUGUGCAAGGGACACUCCAGUCCCUUGGGUUACAUCUAAUUAGUUUCUCGUCAGUCGUUCCUGGUGCUUGAUGCUGGUUUUGUGCGUUGGCUUUGCAAAGCGUCCCCAUCGCAGGUUUUGCUGUGGGCGGCUUUGCCCAUUAUUGGCCGUGUGUGGGUGGUCAGGUUGUGACUUGGGUUUAGUUUCAUUUAUAUAUAUAUGUAUGUAUUUCCUUUUUGUUAUGAAAGUUCUGUAUGAUGUAUUAUAAUAUGAAGUGUUGCA